CAGUAGCCGCGGUAAUACGAAGGGGGCUAGCGUUGCUCGGAAUGACUGAGCGUAAAGGGCGCGUAGGCGGCGGCCAAAGUCAGGCGUGAAAUUCCAGGGCUUAACCUUGGGGCUGCAUUUGAGACGGGUUGUCUAGAGUGGAGGAGAGGGUCGUGGAAUUCCCAGUGUAGAGGUGAAAUUCGUAGAUAUUCGGAGGAACACCAGUGGCGAAGGCGGCUCACUGGACCGACACUGACGCUGAGGCGCGAAAGCGUGGGGAGCGAACAGGAUUAGAUACCCGCGUAGUCCCUGUCUCUUAUAC
rnacentral:rRNA from 1 species